rnacentral:lncRNA from 1 species
AUUGACCGACUCAGAAUUGGCUACCAUGGGCACAAUAUAAUUGAUGAUUUUGGACGACAUCGAAUGAAAUCUAGCGGUUUUUUUUCUUUUCUUUCUAGAGAAAGAAAGACAGCUUGCCGCUAGCUGAUCACAUUCGAAAGGAACAUUUUAUUACAUUUUGCAUUGGAAAAAUAGAUCGGUUGGCACGUUGCAUGCAAGGAACUUAUUCACCAGAACUACAUACUACGAUCGCAGAAGCACAAUCGAGAUUUGUCUGGCGUCCCGGAGCCGUGAUCAAACCGCUGGUGGUGAUGGUUUGUAUAGUUCGCAACAACACAUAUUGCUGUCUCUGCAAAGGCUGACCCAGGGGUGUUUGGGGCUGUGCCCGACUAACCUCCUGCAUGCAUCAUCACAAUCAGGUACAGUGCAUCCUCCAUUCAAAUACUCGCAUUUCUCCCCGGUAUCUGCAGGUGAUGUACCAUUGCAGCGUCAUCAACUCAAUCAAAAAAGACCUUUGGUAGGUUAGUUAUCUUGGAUACCGACUGAAAUGGCUCCAUGGAGCUCGAGCUCCGUUAGCAACACGAGGAAAAAUGAUAUACACACUUACACUUGAUUGCAUGGCACGAUGGCAAGGUACGAGCAGACAUCACUAUAAGAACCAGGAAAGCAAUGGCCACAGUUCUUUUUGUGUUGCUACGGUGGACGUUUGCCAUGUGGAGAGGUUGGUCGCUGGUGUUUGUCUUU